AUGGAUUCCUCUGGACAAGAAGGAGGUGGGGUUGCCCAAGUUGUUGAUCCAGAAGGGGAGGAACAAACUGAAUAUCCCCCUCAAGGUCUCCGCAAUGACUCAGCCCAAGAAGGAGGUGGGGUUGCCCAAGUUGAUGAACCAGAAGGUGAGGAACCAACUGAAUAUCCGCCACGAGGUCUCCGCAAUGACUCAGGUGCUCGGGUAUUCCCUCACAAGUUAUGCAAGUCUACUUACAUUACCAGACUGUCUUUCAAGCGUUGGGAAAAAACUGUGAAGCAGUUUAGUGACAUUCAGUUAGGCCAUGUGAGAAAGUACAAAAUGGAAGCUCUACUUCAUAUGCCAAAGAAACUUAAAAUCCCCAUGAAUCUGCUUGAAUGGAUAGAUCAACACAUGUUUGGAACUAAAGAGCCCUGUUUCAAGCAUAAGAAUAAAGUUAUCAAGAUUACUAAAGAUAUGGUCGACAAAAUUUUCGAUUUCCCUGGUGGCACCAAGCCUUUUGUAUUCAGUAGCGAUGAUCCCCAAGUGAAAGCAGAGGUUACACAGUUGAGGAACAAGUAUAUUGAUCAUCGGAACAAAAUGCUAAUUAAUAAAAUAGAGGAGGUGAUGCUUAGUGAUGAGACAGAAGAUGGUUUUAUUAGGAGCUUCACAUUUUAUUUUCUAUCAUCUAUUUUGUGCCCUGCAUCAUAUUGUUUUGGCAACACCAAGUUCUUGUACUCUCUAAGAGAUGUUUCUGCUAUUCCUUCUCUCGACUUUGCGCAAUUGGCACUGGAUUUCAUGCGUGAGGAGUCAGAGCGUCACUUAGAAAUGAUCAUGAACAGACCAAGUGUUGAGGAAAUGAACAAGUCUUCAUAUAUUGGGGGAUGUCUUCCUAUUUGGGGAAUCAUUUAUCUGGAUUUUGUUGAUUUCGAUUUUAUUGAUAAUCAUCAGUCUACUGUGGAUUAUUCUCUUCCACGGAUAUGUCAUGUUAAGACAGAAGAUUUCAAGUAUCUUGCAUUGGUUGAUAGGAAUUAUGAGUCUAGGAAAUUUUUUGGUGUUUUACCACUGCGAGACAUAUCACAUACCCCAUAUUACAAUGUCGGGCCUAUUAACAAUGCUCCCGACGCUGAUGGUGUGAUUAACUCAACUCCUUAUGUGGAGGUCAACAAUGCAAAUAGUGUUCCUGAAGCUCUACAUGAGAACACGUCAAUUGAUUCAAAAAGUCCUCAUACCAUUUCAGAAAUUCCCAGUUCCACUGCAAAAGUUGAAGCAGAUUUAAAACCAAAACCAGAGCCACAUUUGAAAACAGAGGUUCCCUCCAGUGAUGUCCUUAAGCCGGAGCCAAUCGGACCAAAAUUUGAGAACAUUUUUGUCCUGAAUUCGGUGUACAAAACACCAAUAUUCCCAGCUCAUACUUCAAAUGUGAACACCAACUCUGUCCACCAAGAAACUACUUCACAACCUAAGGAAGUAGUUUUUCUAUCAGCUAAAGCAGAUGAUAUCAAAUUUUCCACUGAAGUUAAUGCAAAAAGAAGUUUUAUACUCAUCAGUUCUGCCUCUGGAAAUGAAAGAGUCAAGCGUUUUCAAGGAACUCCAAUUCUUAUUGAUGAUGAUUCUCCUACCACUCCUGCUGCCGCGACUAACGAAGUGAUACCAGCCUCUCACUGUGAUACAAGUGAAGGAAUUCCAAUGAACAUGGAGUUUUCUGUCCAACUAGGCUAUUCUUCAUUGAAUAAUGCAGAAGCUGGACCAAGUACAAGACCUAAUACAAUUGAAAAGAAGAACAGGAAAAAAAGAGCAGCUAAACUUCAAUCUCCUGAUGCACCAAAGAAACUGAAAAUAUCUCAAGAAGUGGACAUUUUCUUCUCCAAAUAUUUGAGGAAGCCUAUCUUUCAAGAAUAA
rnacentral:rRNA from 1 species